UACGAAGGGUGCAAGCGUUGCUCGGAAUCAUUGGGCGUAAAGCGCACGUAGGCGGCUUCGCAAGUCGGAUGUGAAAUCCCUCGGCUCAACCGAGGACGUGCAUACGAAACUGCGGAGCUUGAGUGCUGAAGAGGAUCGCGGAAUUCCCGGUGUAGAGGUGAAAUUCGUAGAUAUCGGGAGGAACACCAGUGGCGAAGGCGGCGAUCUGGGCAGACACUGACGCUGAGGUGCGAAAGCGUGGGGAGCAAACAGG
rnacentral:rRNA from 1 species